GCCAGACGUGGUGGUGCAUGUCUGUAAUCCUAGCUACUUGGGAAGCUGAGGUGGAGGGAUCGCUUGAACCCAGGAGGCAGAGGUUGCAGUGAGCCGAGAUUGUGCCACUGCACUCCAGCCUGGGCAACAAAGUGAGACUCCGUCUCAA
rnacentral:SRP_RNA from 1 species